AAUGCCGGCCAUAAGAGUAGUAGAGUGGUGUGGUGACUGGCGAGGACUACUGGCGACCACUAUAUGGCUCAUAGCCUAAAAGCUCUUUCACACGACGAUACGCGUAUCGCAAUACGGGUAUGCGUAGAGUUUAACAAAUGCAUGGAUGACGAGAACCUGAGAUGUGAAGAAGAGUGUUUGGACCGGGCAACAGUUGGAAGUGUGCCUGGAAGAUAAACACACGGAAUUGGCGAAUGUUUAGGCUAAGAGAGCGACUGCUAGGUGCCAGAUUGAGAAUGAAUGAUAAGAACGUGUGUUGUAUGUAGACAUGUAUACGAAACUCUGGAAUAUGUAUAAGCACCUUGGAUAAUGAAUUAAUGACAUACAUUCGUGUGAAGUUGCACGUGUGAGCGACGAAACAUGCGUCAUAGGAGUAAUUUUCAUGGAAGCACCAGCCAGAGGCGUUAUGAGAAGUGACGAAGAUAAAGCGUACAAUAAACGGGAGUUACCGUUAGCGAAGCGAGAGAGAGUUAGCGAAGCUAGAUCUUGUCAAACGAAAGCUGGAGUUGAGGAGAAGUCUCGCGUAUAUGUGUCAUUGAAAUUUGUACAUAUCUGUCUUAGAAUAAAUUUGUAAAACAUUGUAAA